GAGCGCCGUAGCAAUACGGAGCGGCAGACGGGAGAGUAACACGUGGGAACGUACCUUUCGGUUCGGAAUAACUCAGGGAAACUUGAGCUAAUACCGGAUACGCCCGCAAGGGGAAAGAUUUAUUGCCGAAAGAUCGGCCCGCGUCCGAUUAGCUAGUUGGUGGGGUAAUGGCCCACCAAGGCGACGAUCGGUAGCUGGUCUGAGAGGAUGAUCAGCCUCACUGGGACUGAGACACGGCCCAGACUCCUACGGGAGGCAGCAGUGGGGAAUAUUGGACAAUGGGCGCAAGCCUGAUCCAGCCAUGCCGCGUGGGUGAUGAAGGCCUUAGGGUUGUAAAGCUCUUUCGCCCGCGACGAUGAUGACGGUAGCGGGAGAAGAAGCCCCGGCUAACUUCGUG
rnacentral:rRNA from 1 species